GGCUGGUUUGUCCACAGGCUACUCUUCUUGCCUCUGGCUUGAGAAGUCACAUGUUCAGGUCCCGGACGAGCCCCCA
rnacentral:tRNA from 1 species